GCGCCGAGCUCCUCCUCGCCUUUCUCCCGGCCAGGGAAGUUGUGCUGCUCGCUCAGGCCGCCCGGCCUCCGCCGGCGGGGAGGCGGAGGCUGAGAAACUUGGAGGCUCGGACCCGGGGCGGAAAGUUUCCGAUAGCCCCGGGUGGACGGCGGAGGAUCCGCCCCCCCCCCGGGGAUCCGUGCUGUGAGGUGGCGGUGUCCGUGUGUCCAUGUGUCUGUGUGGAAAUUCAUCUCCUCUAUGAACGGCGCGUUGCCGUAAAACCGGGCGCGACAGACGCCUGCUUAUUAGAAAGACCGACUGCGAGGCUUUAAAUGUCUUCAUCAUGCGCGGAAUUAAUAGCGGCAGGCCAGUGCGGCCUUUCGAAGGAUGGGAAGGGUUGGCCAUCUUAGCCCAGGAAACAAUGCAUCAGGGAGGCUGUUUCAGAGAUGCAAACUCUCACAGGCAGACAGCCAAGAGGCAGAAGUCUGAAAAUAGCUGAAAAACUUCAGAACGAGUAGACCUGGAUUCUUACAGGCAUGUCACUGUUUUUUCCUUCAUAGUCUCUCUCUGCUGGAUGAGUUUAUUGACUGCAUUUUAAUGCCUUCUGAAGAACCACACAUAAAAAAAUACUAAAAAAAACCAACACCUUCACAGUACUCUGGUCUCCAUGGCAAAGGGAACCAGAAAGGAGGACACAGCAACUCAUUGAGGCUUGGCAGAAGAAAAUCAGAGAUGUCACUUCCUACUCCAUUCCUGCCAAAUGCAGUUAGAACUUUUGCUGCGGAGAACAUCAUUUAGGGAUUGCAAUUAAACCUUAACAUUUGAAAUGCUUAAUUUUCAGCAGCUGAUGCCAUAAACAGAAUGCAGAUACUAGGAAUGGAGUGUAAUUUGUUUUUCUUGCAAUGAAUAAAAGGUAUGAAGUGUUUAUUGACUUAAAAAGAAAAACUGAACAAACAGAAUAAAGAAGAAAGCAUGCACGGAUGCUUUGAAGGAAAGAAUGUUUUUAUUUCAUACUUUGAAGAAAUUGUUCAACUAGUUCAGCCGUGUAAAAAUGUGACCCCUCUAAUGCUGCCAAGGGCAGUGAGAUCAGGGAUAAUCUGCUGAGGAAAUGCAGCUCACGCAGGCCAACAGGCAUGUUUUAAAUUUAUAACACCAUUUUUUCAAAGAGGGAAGCAUGAAGGGGAGAAGAAGGGAAUUAGAAGGGGAGACCAGUACUGAGGGGUCUCCGUCAGCAUGAAGGAAGUAGAAGGGGGGACCAGUACUGUUCUUUGCUUGCUGAAGAAUCCCAUUACCUGUUUUGAGGAAUGUUCUCUCUGCUCUUUGCUAUAGAAACAUGUAGAUGUGGGGGACAGUCAGACAGCUGUAUACUCUCCUCCAUGAGGUGUCGCAAAAAAAAAAAGAAAAAAAAAAGAAAAAAAAAUGUGAUUAAGAUGCUGAAUAAUAAUUAAUAAGCAGGGAGAAAGCAUGAGAGUAAGCUAUUCUGACAGUCUUAAUUCUCACUUUAAUGUAGGGCUUGACUUCAUGUUCCUCAUGUUCUUCAUGCUCUUUUAAAGUUGUUCUGGUAUACACAUGCUCAUGUUUAUCUGUAUGCAUACGCUGUCUUUGCAAACUCUGUAGUCCAAAGAAUAAUUCUCAAGCCUAA